rnacentral:rRNA from 1 species
UACCAGCACCCCGAGUGGUCGGGACGAUUAUUGGGCCUAAAGCAUCCGUAGCCGGCCUUACAAGUCAGCCGUUAAAUCCAACUGCUUAACAGAUGGGCUGCGGAGGAUACUAUAAGACUAGGAGGCAGGAGAGGCAAGCGGUACUCAGUGGGUAGGGGUAAAAUCCGUUGAUCCAUUGAAGACCACCAGUGGCGAAGGCGGCUUGCCAGAAUGCGCUCGACGGUGAGGGAUGAAAGCUGGGGGAGCAAACCGG